UCCAACAGAAAUGGUCCACCAAUGCUCCCAAUAUUCAGUGGAUAUAUAUAGGGUACCACAGCCUUGGCUGAAUAUUGGGAGCAUUGGUGGACCAUUUCUGUUGG